GUUAAAAAGCUCGUAGUUGGAUCUCGGCAAGUAGAGGGCGGUAUGCUUCGCAGCAUUACUGCCCUAUUACUUGUAGUUUUGCCAGAGGUUCCUGGGUGCUCUUAAUCGAGUGUCUAGGGAUGCUGGCAGGUUUACUUUGAAAAAAUUAGAGUGCUCAAAGCAGGCUAUUACGCUUGAAUAUUCGUGCAUGGAAUAAUAGAAUAGGAAGUUGUUUCUAUUUUGUUGGUUUUCGGAAAUCGACUUAAUGAUUAAUAGGGACAGUCGGGGGCAUUUGUAUUCAAACGACAGAGGUGAAAUUCUUGGACCGUUUGAAGACAAACUACUGCGAAAGCAUUUGCCAAGAAUGUUUUCAUUAAUCAAGAACGAAAGUUAGAGGUUCGAAGGCGAUUAGAUACCGCCCUAGUUCUAACCAAAAACGAUGCCAGCUAGCGAUCUGAGGACGUUUUUUUUGUAGACUCCUCAGGAAGCUUCCGGGAAACCAAAGCGUGUGGGUUCCGGGGGAAGUAUGGUUGCAAAGCUGAAACUUAAAGGAAUUGACGGAAGGGCACCACCAGGAGUGGAGCCUGCGGCUUAAUUUGACUCAACACGGGAAAUCUCACCAGGCCCGGACACUGGAAGGAUUGACAGAUUGAGAGCUCUUUCUCGAUUCGGUGGGUGGUGGUGCAU
rnacentral:rRNA from 1 species